rnacentral:misc_RNA from 1 species
AAGUCGUAACAAGGUUUCCGUAGGUGAACCUGCGGAAGGAUCAUUAUUGAAUGAACUUGGCGUGGUUGUCGCUGGCCCUCUCGGGGGUAUGUGCACGCCCGUCAUCUUUAUUUUUCCACCUGUGCACACUUUGUAGACUUGAAUAGUAUUUUCUGAGGCAACUCAGUCGGGAGGAUUGCUGGUAUUAUCAGCUUUCCUUGCAUUAUUCAAGCCUAUGUUUUCAUAUACCCCAAAAAUGUAACAGAAUGUAUCAUUGGGCCUUGUGCCUAUAAACUAUAUACAACUUUCAGCAACGGAUCUCUUGGCUCUC